rnacentral:rRNA from 1 species
UGGGGAAUAUUGCACAAUGGGCGCAAGCCUGAUGCAGCCAUGCCGCGUGUGUGAAGAAGGCCUUCGGGUUGUAAAGCACUUUCAGCGAGGAGGAAGGUGGUGAACUUAAUACGUUCAUCAAUUGACGUUACUCGCAGAAGAAGCACCGGCUAACUCCGUGCCAGCAGCCGCGGUAAUACGGAGGGUGCAAGCGUUAAUCGGAAUUACUGGGCGUAAAGCGCACGCAGGCGGUUUGUUAAGUCAGAUGUGAAAUCCCCGGGCUCAACCUGGGAACUGCAUUUGAAACUGGCAAGCUAGAGUCUCGUAGAGGGGGGUAGAAUUCCAGGUGUAGCGGUGAAAUGCGUAGAGAUCUGGAGGAAUACCGGUGGCGAAGGCGGCCCCCCUGGACGAAGACUGACGCUCAGGUGCGAAAGCGUGGGGCAGCAAACAGGAUUAGAUACCCUGGUAGUCCAUGCUGUAAACGAUGUCGAUUUGGAGGUUGUGCCCUUGAGGCGUGGCUUCCGGAGCUAACGCGUUAAAUCGACCGCCUGGGGAGUACGGCCGCAAGGUUAAAACUUAAAGGAAUU